CCUACGGGGCGCAGCAGUGAGGAAUAUUGGUCAAUGGACGAGAGUCUGAACCAGCCAAGUAGCGUGAAGGAUGACUGCCCUAUGGGUUGUAAACUUCUUUUAUAUGGGAAUAAAAUGUUCCACGUGUGGGAUUUUGUAUGUACCAUAUGAAUAAGGAUCGGCUAACUCCGUGCCAGCAGCCGCGGUAAUACGGAGGAUCCGAGCGUUAUCCGGAUUUAUUGGGUUUAAGGGGAGCGUAGGUGGAUUGUUAAGUCAGUUGUGAAAGUUUGCGGCUCAACCGUAAAAUUGCAGUUGAAACUGGCAGUCUUGAGUACAGUAGAGGUGGGCGGAAUUCGUGGUGUAGCGGUGAAAUGCUUAGAUAUCACGAAGAACUCCGAUUGCGAAGGCAGUUCACUGGACUGCAACUGACACUGAGGCUCGAAAGUGUGGGUAUCAAACAGGAUUAGAUACCCCAGUAGUC
rnacentral:rRNA from 1 species